rnacentral:rRNA from 1 species
GACGAACGCUGGCGGCGUGCUUAACACAUGCAAGUCGAACGGAAAGGCCCUGCUUUUGUGGGGUGCUCGAGUGGCGAACGGGUGAGUAACACGUGAGUAACCUGCCCUUGACUUUGGGAUAACUUCAGGAAACUGGGGCUAAUACCGGAUAGGAGCUCCUGCUGCAUGGUGGGGGUUGGAAAGUUUCGGCGGUUGGGGAUGGACUCGCGGCUUAUCAGCUUGUUGGUGGGGUAGUGGCUUACCAAGGCUUUGACGGGUAGCCGGCCUGAGAGGGUGACCGGCCACAUUGGGACUGAGAUACGGCCCAGACUCCUACGGGAGGCAACAGUGGGGAAUAUUGCAUAAUGGGCGGAAGCCUGAUGCAGCAACGCCGCGUGCGGGAUGACGGCCUUCGGGUUGUAAACCGCUUUCGCCUGUGACGAAGCGUGAGUGACGGUAAUGGGUAAAGAAGCACCGGCUAACUACGU